rnacentral:rRNA from 1 species
UCUGGUGACAAUGGCAAAGAGGACACACCCGUUCCCAUCUCGAACACGGAAGUUAAGCUCUUUAGCGCUGAUGGUACUUGGGUAUUGCCCUGGGAGAGUAAGACGUCGCCGGGC